rnacentral:rRNA from 1 species
UCGAGCGGCAUCGAGUGAGCGCAGUUUACUGAGUUCAUGUCGGCGAGCGGCGGACGGGUGAGUAAAGUCUGGGAAUCUGGCCGAAGGAGGGGGAUAACUGCUGGAAACGGCAGCUAAUACCGCAUGAAGUCGCGAGACCAAAGUGGGGGACCUUCGGGCCUCACGCCUUCGGAUGAGCCCAGAUGAGAUUAGCUGGUAGGUAAGGUAAAGGCUUACCUAGGCGACGAUCUCUAGCGGGUCUGAGAGGAUAGCCCGCCACACUGGAACUGAGACACGGUCCAGACUCCUACGGGAGGCAGCAGUGGGGAAUAUUGCACAAUGGGCGAAAGCCUGAUGCAGCCAUGCCACGUGUGUGAAGAAGGCCUUCGGGUUGUAAAGCACUUUCAGCGAGGAGGAAGCGAUAAAUGCCA